AGUGAAUGCUGGAGGCAGGCCUAACACAUGCAAGUCGAACGAAGCCUUCGGGCUUAGUGGCGGACGGGUGAGUAACACGUGGGAACGUACCGUUUGGUUCGGAAUAACGCAGAGAAAUUUGCGCUAAUACCGAAUGAGCCCUUCGGGGGAAAGAUUUAUCGCCGAAAGAUCGGCCCGCGUUGGAUUAGGUAGUUGGUGUGGUAAAGGCGCACCAAGCCUACGAUCCAUAGCUGGUCUGAGAGGAUGAUCAGCCACACUGGGACUGAGACACGGCCCAGACUCCUACGGGAGGCAGCAGUGGGGAAUCUUGCGCAAUGGGCGAAAGCCUGACGCAGCCAUGCCGCGUGAAUGAUGAAGGUCUUAGGAUUGUAAAAUUCUUUUACCAGGGACGAUAAUGACGGUACCUGGAGAAAAAGCCCCGGCUAACUUCGUGCCAGCCGCCGCCGUAA
rnacentral:rRNA from 1 species